GGGUGUGUUAGAGGGAGGCGAGGAAGGGGCUGGGAGAGAUUUCCCAGUAAAGGGGGACAUUUGAGGUAGACUUUGAAGGAAGGGUAGGCCAUGGGGCCUGGGGAGUAGGAACAGCAUGGAGGGAUGAAAAGACGGCGAUCUGAGAAAAUGGGUUUGGAGGAGCUCUGAAUAUUAGUGUUAGAAUUCCCUCAGGUACCCCAGGGCCCCAGCCAGAGAUCAGCACACAGUACAGGAGGCUGGCCAGGCACCCCGACAGGCUAAGGGGCUGCCAGCAGCCCCUUCGCAGCUCUGUCGCAAGGUCGUGUCCCGGAAGUGAAGGGGCCAUGUUGAUGGGUGACCCGGGGAGA
rnacentral:sRNA from 1 species